CUCGUUUCGCGCGGCAGGACGGAAAGACCCCGGGACCUUUACUAUAGCUUGGUAUUGGCAUAUUGUCUGGUUUGUGUAGGAUAGGCGGGAGCCUGGGAAGCUGCGACGCUAGUCGUGGUGGAGGCGUUGGUGAAAUACCGCUCUGAUGAGAUGAUGUGUCUCACCCGCGGCCCUGAUCGGGUCGGGGGACAGUGCCUGGUGGGUAGUUUAACUGGGGCGGUUGCCUCCUAAAUGGUAACGGAGGCGCCCAAUGGUACCCUCGGGCCGGUUGGAAACCGGUCGGUGAGUGUAAGCGUAUAAGGGUGCUUGACUGUGAGACUGACGGGUCGAGCAGGUGCGAAAGCAGGGGCUAGUGAUCCGGCACCGACGUACGGAUGUGGUGUCGCUCAACGGAUAAAAGGUACCCCGGGGAUAACAGGCUGAUCUUCCCCAAGAGUCCAUAUCGACGGGAUGGUUUGGCACCUCGAUGUCGGCUCGUCGCAUCCUGGGGCUGGAGUUGGUCCCAAGGGUUGGGCUGUUCGCCCAUUAAAGCGGCACGCGAGCUGGGUUUAGAACGUCGUGAGACAGUUCGGUCCCUAUCCGCCGCGCGCGCAGGAGAUUUGAUGAAGGGCUGUCCCUAGUACGAGAGGACCGGGAUGGACGAACCGCUGGUGUGCCAGUUGUCCCGCCAGGGGCAUGGCUGGUUGGCUACGUUCGGGAGCGAUAACCGCUGAAAGCAUCUAAGCGGGAAGCGUGCUUCGAGAUGAGAUCUCCGACAGUUUUUAAGCUGGUGAGGCGCCCGGAAGAUGACCGGGUUGAUAGGCCGGACAUGGAAGCGCCGUAAGGUGUGGAGUGGACCGGUACUAACCGCCGAGAACUUAACACU
rnacentral:rRNA from 1 species